GCCGACUUAAAUAAAGAUAACUAGGUGCCAAGCCUUUAUUUGAAACCAUUUUUUUCUCUCUGGGAAUCAAAGGGAUUCGACUUUCCUUCUGAGAUGGAGAGAAUGCGCUCCUACUAUCUUUCAAUCACCGAUGCUAAAACAAAGAGGGCGUAGACCCGGUAGGAGAUUGAGACGGAAUUGAGGUCAGUGCUUUUUUUGCUCUUACAGAAGAAGCUGCUAUUGCAUACCUUGUUACAAAAUACGUAGCUACGGAAUUCGUCUAGUCACAUGGAGCUGUUCUCUUAUCUGCUCUUCCCGCUGUUAGAGUAAGCCUUGCUAGUCUUUGAGGAAUCUCCGCUGCUCUUUUCACGGCUCCGCUCUUUUUGACUUUUCCAUUCGGGUGGAGUUAGCUCUAAAGGGACUGAAGGCACUGACGGGGUUAGGGCAGCGAGUGAUCCCCGGGUCAUAAUUAAUAAAGAAAAAUUAGGACAUAUCACUACUAGACUCUUAGCUGUGAACAAAACUAAAGCUUUCGCGUGGCGAAUGCGCUUUUCUUUACCUUCUCGAUCUGAGAAUGAUUACGCGUAGUAGUGGUCAGUCCUUUUCCUGUUAGAUAAGCGCUAGUUUCUGCUUUCACAUCUGGAUGCCGAGAAGAAGCUCCUUCUGUUUCGUAAGAGAAUACCGGUCUUAGGUAGCGAGGAGGAGACGGAUUUGAACUUGAAUCACCUGUAGGCCUUCUGAUCCUAUGGCGAUGUUUUCGCUUAAUUAAGCAGCCAUAGUCCAGGAAGACUUUCAUUAGCAGAAUUAGCAGUCGGGCUGUGAACCAUAGGCCUUAGGAUUUGAAACCCUAGGCCCGGCCUACCAAUAGAAUAAAUAGGCUAUCGAGUUGAAGCAAUAGCCAGAGAUUAGUCGGUGCGAAGCGAAGCAAGGGAAGGUUAAUAAAUAAGAUAAGGGGAAGACGAUUUGGCAUCUCUUCUUGGUAGAAUAGGUAGAGCAUGACUUCUUUCAACUAUUAUUCGUAAUAGUGAUAGAAUGAGUUGUAUUUUCAGUUCUAAAAUAAGUUUUUUUUGAAAGUCAAGUAGGGCAGAAUCAUUAGCUGUCAACUGUUC
rnacentral:misc_RNA from 1 species